GUGCUUGCUUCAGCAGCACAUAUACUAAAAUUGGAAUGAUACAGAGAAGAUUAGCAUGGCCCCUGUGCAAGGAUGACAUGCAAAUUCAUGAAAUGGUCCAUAUUUUU
rnacentral:snRNA from 1 species